AGGGGUCACAGUGAAGACAACACGUACGAUUUCCAACUGAAUGCAUAACUGUCUGUAGAGUUAUGCUUAUCAUCUUGCAUGUUGUCUUCAUAUUUAAACCAGCAUAUUAUAUCUUUUUUUUUGUAUCCGGACUGAUAUGCCGUUAUUAACAAAGUCAAAUUACUUUGGCAUGAACAUCAUUCUAACAACUCUAUACUGAAUGUUUAAGUUAUAAAAUCAUUGUUUUUAAAUGUGACUAAUGUAUAAAUUUGACACUUUUAUGAUUGCAUUUUUCAUCUAGUAUCACUUUAUAAUAACUUUGUUUCACUUUUUCUGAAGACUCUACUGCUGUUUUACAGUUAACACAGCACAACACAGAAGAAGCCUUUGGGUAUGAAAGGAAGAAUUGAACUGUAAACGGCAUCAGUGCCACAGUGGAUUACUGAAUUUCUCUCUUAUUCUAUGCUGGUUUUCCAGUCACACCUCUGGCCACAAUGUCACCCUGAACUAAGUAGUACACGAUGUCAAACAUCCAGAAGACCACUAGGUCCAGGGCCACCACAAGGCCUCCAACAGCAAUGUGUCUGAGGAUAGAUAAUCCGCUGAGCGCGGUGGCCUGCCUCUCCUUAUCGCUACUCGUCUUUGGGAACCUUGUUACCUUGCCCUACUUCUCUUCAAGGAAGUAUGAUCCAUUAGGCUUGCAAUUCCCCUUCGCCAGUCACUCUCCCCAUCGGCUCCUUGCUUUCAACUCACAGGGACAGAUCCCAGCGUGACAUUUGGAUUGAAACCCAACACCACUGGACUGACUCAACUAAGUCAGCUAAGGAUAUGAAACAACAACAAUUUAAAAAAGGAAACAUGACGCAAGACCUUCUACUCUAUAAUUUCGAAAGAAAAUGGAAGAGGCACUUCCAGUCAUUUGAAACAGUGAAAACGGUCA
rnacentral:lncRNA from 1 species